ACCAUAUCAUAUUGAAACACUGGUUCUCUUAUUAUGAUCACUGAAGUUAAGCAACACUGAGACUGGUCUGUACCUAGAUGGGUGACCACUUGGGAAUACCAGGUACU